GUGCAUCAACAGCCUGCCAUCUACCACCCCCUCAUCAACCUCCAAGGCAAGCUCAGUCAUCUCACAGGAAGCAAGGUGCCCCAGGAAACACAGACGGCUCACAGCGAGGACCCACAUGAGGUGUUAUUGAGCAAGACGGGAAGGCAACUUUCUGGAUAAUUGAACGUGCUAGUGAACAGAAUGUUGCCAGAGAUACUCCAGGUGCACACUCAGAUGUAUAUGUCAUAUGCUCCCUGAGUGAUUAGGUGUUCCAGGCUCUGAGGGUAGGAAAAUGAAGACAACAGUCUCUGUCUCAGGGAAGCUCCAGGUCCACAGGGGAAAAAGGAAGUCAACGCCAAGUGGUACUGCAGAGUGGCAAACACCACAGCACAAAGUGCUCCAGAAACACUCAGCAGGGGCCAGCCAUACGGUGGAAGGCAGGCAAUGGCCCACUCCACAGACCCUCACAAAACACACAAGGCUUGGAUGAUGAAGGGGAGAUGGAAAGGCUUUGUAGUUUUUCAGGGCAAUUGCAAUGAAUGGCAAUUAUCAUGGCAA
rnacentral:antisense_RNA from 1 species